AGGGGGUUAGCCAAGUGGUCUAAGGCAUCUGGUUUUGAACCAGACAUUUCGAAGGUUCGAAUCCUUCAUCCCCUGCCA
rnacentral:tRNA from 1 species